AUGUUAGCGGCGGACGGGUGAGUAACACGUGGGUAACCUGCCUGUAAGACUGGGAUAACUCCGGGAAACCGGAGCUAAUACCGGAUAGUUCCUUGAACCGCAUGGUUCAAGGAUGAAAGACGGUUUCGGCUGUCACUUACAGAUGGACUCGCGGCGCAUUAGCUAGUUGGUGAGGUAACGGCUCACCAAGGCGACGAUGCGUAGCCGACCUGAGAGGGUGAUCGGCCACACUGGGACUGAGACACGGCCCAGACUCCUACGGGAGGCAGCAGUAGGGAAUCUUCCGCAAUGGACGAAAGUCUGACGGAGCAACGCCGCGUGAGUGAUGAAGGUUUUCGGAUCGUAAAGCUCUGUUGUUAGGGAAGAACAAGUGCAAGAGUAACUGCUUGCACCUUGACGGUACCUAACCAGAAAGCCACGGCUAACUACGUGCCAGCAGCCGCGGUAAUACGUAGGUGGCAAGCGUUGUCCGGAAUUAUUGGGCGUAAAGGGCUCGCAGGCGGUUUCUUAAGUCUGAUGUGAAAGCCCCCGGCUCAACCGGGGAGGGUCAUUGGAAACUGGGAAACUUGAGUGCAGAAGAGGAGAGUGGAAUUCCACGUGUAGCGGUGAAAUGCGUAGAGAUGUGGAGGAACACCAGUGGCGAAGGCGACUCUCUGGUCUGUAACUGACGCUGAGGAGCGAAAGCGUGGGGAGCGAACAGGAUUAGAUACCCUGGUAGUCCACGCCGUAAACGAUGAGUGCUAAGUGUUAGGGGGUUUCCGCCCCUUAGUGCUGCAGCUAACGCAUUAAGCACUCCGCCUGGAGUACCGAAGGGC
rnacentral:rRNA from 1 species